ACUUGUGCUAAUACCGGAUGUGCCCUUCGGGGGAAAGAUUUAUCGCCUUUAGAGCGGCCCGCGUCUGAUUAGCUAGUUGGUGAGGUAAAGGCUCACCAAGGCUACGAUCAGUAGCUGGUCUGAGAGGAUGGCCAGCCACAUUGGGACUGAGACACGGCCCAAACUCCUACGGGAGGCAGCAGUGGGGAAUCUUGCGCAAUGGGCGAAAGCCUGACGCAGCCAUGCCGCGUGGAUGAUGAAGGUCUUAGGAUUGUAAAAUCCUUUCAGCGGGGACGAUAAUGACGGUACCCGCAGAAGAAGCCCCGGCUAACUUCGUGCCAGCAGCCGCGGUAAUACGAAGGGGGCUAGCGUUGCUCGGAAUUACUGGGCGUAAAGGGCGCGUAGGCGGACAGUUAAGUUGGGGGUGAAAGCCCGGGGCUCAACCUCGGAAUUGCCUUCAAUACUGGCUGUCUUGAGUAUGGGAGAGGUGAGUGGAACUCCGAGUGUAGAGGUGAAAUUCGUAGAUAUUCGGAAGAACACCAGUGGCGAA
rnacentral:rRNA from 1 species